GCAGUUGUGGUCUAAUGGUUAGAGUGUUGGCCUUGUAACCCGAAGGUCAUGGGUUUGAGUCUCAGGUCUAGCA